rnacentral:rRNA from 1 species
UACGUAGGGGGCAAGCGUUGUCCGGAAUCAUUGGGCGUAAAGAGCGUGUAGGCGGCCCGAUAAGUCCGCUGUGAAAGUCCAGGGCUCAACCCUGGGAUGCCGGUGGAUACUGUCGGGCUCGAGUCCGGAAGAGGCGAGUGGAAUUCCUGGUGUAGCGGUGAAAUGCGCAGAUAUCAGGAGGAACACCAAUGGCGAAGGCAGCUCGUUGGGACGUGACUGACGCUGAGACGCGAAAGCGUGGGGAGCAAACAGG